rnacentral:other from 1 species
UCUCCCCUGCUAUGUUCGUGAUUAUGGGUAUAUUUAGAACCAACACUAUUAAAUAAGGGAACCUUCCCUGACUGUCAGCCGACGGAUUCCCGCCCAUUUAUUGGGAUGGAUUGGAAGGGUCGAAAGCAGUUAUUUUAAAGGUACCCACCUAUUUAUAUAGGUUCAAAUAACCCAUCAACACGGCAUUAAAGCGGGGGAGAA